rnacentral:rRNA from 1 species
GAUGAACGCUGGCGGCGUGCUUAACACAUGCAAGUCGAACGAAGCACUUUACUUGAUCUCUUCGGAGCGAUUGUUCUGUGACUGAGUGGCGGACGGGUGAGUAACGCGUGGGUAACCUGCCUUGUACAGGGGGAUAACAGUUGGAAACGACUGCUAAUACCGCAUAAGCGCACAGGACCGCAUGGUCCGGUGUGAAAAACUCCGCUUUGAGAUGGCCUCGCGUCCGAUUAGCUGGUUGGUGAGGUAACGGGCCCACCAAGGCGACGAUCGGUAGCCGGACUGAGAGGUUGAACGGCCACAUUGGGACUGAGACACGGUCCAAACUCCUACGGGAGGCAGCAGUGGGGAAUAUUGCACAAUGGAGGAAACUCUGAUGCAGCGACGCCGCGUGAGCGAUGAAGGUUUUCGAAUCGUAAAGCUCUGUCCCAUGGGAAGAUAAUGACGGUACCAUGGGAGGAAGCCCCGGCUAACUACGUG